rnacentral:rRNA from 1 species
AUUGAACGCUGGCGGCAGGCUUAACACAUGCAAGUCGAGCGGAGAGAGGUAGCUUGCUACCGAUCUUAGCGGCGGACGGGUGAGUAAUGCUUAGGAAUCUGCCUAUUAGUGGGGGACAACAUUUCGAAAGGAAUGCUAAUACCGCAUACGUCCUACGGGAGAAAGCAGGGGAUCUUCGGACCUUGCGCUAAUAGAUGAGCCUAAGUCGGAUUAGCUAGUUGGUGGGGUAAAGGCCUACCAAGGCGACGAUCUGUAGCGGGUCUGAGAGGAUGAUCCGCCACACUGGGACUGAGACACGGCCCAGACUCCUACGGGAGGCAGCAGUGGGGAAUAUUGGACAAUGGGCGGAAGCCUGAUCCAGCCAUGCCGCGUGUGUGAAGAAGGCCUUAUGGUUGUAAAGCACUUUAAGCGAGGAGGAGGCUACUUUAGUUAAUACCUAGAGAUAGUGGACGUUACUCGCAGAAUAAGCACCGGCUAACUCUG